rnacentral:snRNA from 1 species
GUGCAGCACAGAUACUAAAAUUGGAACGAUACAGAGAUUAGCAUGGUCCCUGCGCAAGGAUGACACGCAAAUUCGUGAAGCGUUCCAUUUUAUA